CGGUCACUGGGGCGGAUGGCUCCUGAAUACUCUGGGUAUUCACGGCCUGGGUGGCAUCGUUGCCGCCAUCGGUCAUACUCCGAUGCCGCUGU
rnacentral:tRNA from 1 species